CAGCCUGCAACCCGGCUGCACGAAGCCGGAAUCGCUAGUAAUCGCAGAUCAGCAUGCUGCCGGUGAAUACGUUCCCGGGUCUUGUACACACCGCCCGUCACACCAUGGGAGCCGGGAAUGCCCGAAGUCAGCGGCCCAACCGAAAGGGGGGAGCUGCCGAAGGCAGGCCUGGUGACUGGGGUGAAGUCGUAACAAGGUACC
rnacentral:rRNA from 1 species